AUGUGCCCCCUUCUGGCUACCCUCGGCCCUCCUACUGCUCGCGAUACCCGAUCAUCGCAGUAUUACGCGUGAAGUAAAUACAAGCUGCAUGUGGCAAUGGAAAAUAUUUCAAUCGGGAUAUUUCCAACUGGGGAAGUCAAAAGAAAAUCAGCUCGAGUAACACUGGAUACCGUAGAUAGAGGAACUUAUCAACAGGAAAAGUUUGAAUAUUUUUGUAAUCGUCGUUCGAACCCCUACGAUUUUUCGACCACCUCCGACUGAAAUAAUUUCACAAUAAAGACUAUAAAAACUGACUGCACUUUCAAUUUUUGAAAUCAUUUUUAAAUUUAUACGCGUACUUCUGCUUCGUGGUUUAUUUUGCCUUAGUAGGUAUAAAGUCUAGAAUUAAAAGAAAUCAAAAUGCGUGUCUUAGGACUUUUGACGUGUUUUUUGGUUUCCUUAUGUAGUAUUUUUACUACUGUUGCUGCAUUUCAUCAUCAUAUUGGUUAUGGAAUAUGGCUGAUUUUGGGAGCUGUUUAUUUUUUUUUGAAAGUCGUGGUCUUCUGGGUAUGGUUGAUAUUGUUUCCUUUUUUUCCUCUCACAUGGUUUUUGUGGCCUAUUUUGUUCUUGUUAUUUAUUCUUCUCUAAUGCGUUUUAAAAAAUACCAGACUUCGUUUCAAGAAGUUAUGAAAAGUUCCGUACGCAAUAGGUACAUUUCAAAGGUGGUGGAAAUGGGGAUGACAGAUUAAUUUAAUCUCAAAUUACUUCAUUUAAGCAAUCCAUUUAAUCGAACUAUUAUGGAACAAUUUUUUAUCAUAAGGUGGCGGGGAUACUUUAAGUAACAGUACUUACUGCAAUUUAAUACACAAUAAAUUACCUACCUUAUUUGAGAAAAAUGAAAAUCUCAGUAGGUGAAUCAAAUGAUCCAACUAAUGGUUAUAAUGAAUUGAGCAAAAGUAACUAAAAAAAAAAAUAAAAAAUAAAAAUAAACGAAUUAGAAGUGAAUUUUGAAAAUCAAAAACUAAAAUGGAUACCUAAUUUGAGAUGAAAAUUCAAUAGAAUUUUUGCUUGUGAAAAAUAGAUUAAUUAAGUAAAAUAAAUUAAAAAGUCAAUAUUGGACUAGAAAUUCUCAUGGUUUGUUUUUGAAAAUUUCAAAAAUAUUAAUAAGGUACUAAAUGUAGGUAAUCUUUAUCUAUGUACCUACAAUAAACGUGAAUUCUGAUACAAAUUCAGUAGCCAUACUUAAAACACCAUAACUACUUUUUAGAAGUUUCUCAUCCAUAUAUGUAUGUACUUAGGUAAGAUACUCGUAAUAUUUUGUGAAAAAAAAAAAUUAUACAUAAACCAGGUGAAAUUUCAAACUUGUAAGUAAACUGAUCAAUCUUAUCGGAAAGUGCUGUGAUAUGGCAACGUAUUUUUACUGCGUCAAUUUUUAAAUUUUCAAAAAACGAACGAUAUUAAACAAAAUGGUUAUCAAUUUUAGACUUACUUAUCGUUUUUGUGUAGCUUUUAUGGUUUCAUUAUCAAGAAAAUCAUGAUCAAAAUCACAGUAAAAAUAUUGAUGAUAAA